rnacentral:sRNA from 1 species
ACUGUGCUGUGUGUUCCCUAAGAGUAGGGAGCAUUUCUGUUCACAACUAGGUUUAUAUUUGCAAAGCAGACAGUGUUUAUUAAUGCCACUUGCCUUUAGAAAGAUUAAGAAAUUCUUCCCAUUUUCCCCAUGUUUCUGGUUAUCUUUUGGUUUUUGUUGUUUAGGGCAAAGGGGUACAGAAAAAUUCCCUUCUGAACAGCCUUUACCCAAGCUGACCUGAAAAGUACUCCAUUGCUUCGACCAACCCUCUUGGCUUCUGAACAAUUUGUUUCCCCCUUUCAAAUGAGUAAAAGGCAAGUCCUACAACUGCUAGGUUAGAAGCCCAGUUUAAUUUACAUAAUUACUUAGUGGUAUCAUUCUUGAAGCAACAGCUUAAAAUUGAAAUAUGAUGAGCAUUUUAUUUCAACAUAGUUUCUUUGCUUAUGUGCGUUGUGUGAAUUAUGCACAACUGCUUUUGGAGUUCGAUGACAUAUAGUCUGUCCCUGUAGAGUACAUGACUGUAACCUCAUUUUUAAAGCUCAUAAAAUCAUUUCAGGUAAUCUCUUAUAAUCCUACCUAAUAAUGUAUUCAUGCAUUUGAAAGAGUAGAAAAUAUUAAUGGAAACUAUAACAGGAAAGAUAGAGGAAACACACACACACACACACACACACACACAAAGAUAGAGGCAACAAUUUAUGUCUACCUAACUGCUGUUUGUUCUUUGUGUCUAAAUAGGAUUUUUACCUACUUCCCUUUGCUUGUUUGACCUUUGAACGUGGAUCUGCAUUUUGAUCUAACAGUUGAUAUUCUUGGUAGAGAGACCGCUCUUUCAUGACCCCUUUUGAUGUUAAACACAUUCUAGCAAUUACAUAAAAGACCUUAACAUAAAGAUAACAAUUUUAUUCCCACGUAGAAAUGCAAACACCUUGAUUAAUUCAGUAAAUAAGUAAAGUUAGACCGUAUAUUUUAUGCUUCUUAAAUAAGAGGAGUUUGAAGGAGACCCUCUGUUUUCUUAACCAGAGAAAUAGCUCAGGUUUUGAGUCAUAGCUUUCAGGUGAUGUAAUUGCUUCCAGUCGCCAUAUUGGAAACUCCUUAAAGGUUAUAGGUUUUGUGUUUCGAUGUAGGGAUGCUUGAUGUUUUAGGUUCAGAAAGUGGUGCCUUGUGUCAGGUGAAUGCUGCCACCUUACAUUAGUAUUUCAGGCUUUUACUGAAGUGGCUGAAGGAAGCUCUUCUGCAGUCAUACAGCAAGGUCUGGCUCCUGUUUCUGCUAAAUGACCUUGAGAACAUUACAUAACUUCUCUGUUCCUUAUUUUCUUUUUAGUAGUAUAAAAGUAAUAAAUAGUACUCCACACAUUUGUUGUAUUAAAAAAGUUCAUGAUAUUCAUCAAAUUAAGAGAUUACUUGUGGUCACUACUUAUUUAACAUUGAAUAAUUAAUACAAAGCUUUAUGAACAAGCAAUCAGCAAUGUUUUCCUAUUUCCUUUCUGUAAUAACACAAUUAGCAUUUAUUAAGGAGCAACAGUGUCCUGGACACUUGUCAGUUCUAUAAGGUAAGUGCCAUUAACUUUAUUUUAAAGAGGAUGAAAACUAGAUGACAGAGGUUAAAAUGAUUCCCUAUGACUUCAAGCUAGUAAGACACCUAGCCACAACUAAAUGUUAGGUCAUUAUGACUCGAAAACCAUGCUAGUUUUGCUGGGUGUCUUGAAAGACAAAAUAAAUCCCAUAUGCUUUUAAAUUUAACUUUGGUCCAUGUUACUAAUUAAUGCAUAGAAACCUAUUCUCUUCAGCUCACUGAAAAGUAACCCUUUCUUAAUAAUAAAGUGUGUAUAACCAGGAGAAUUAAAGCUAAAUUACUUACUAGACAGAGAUUGGCUUUCCUGAUAACCAAAGGUUCUUUUCUCAUGUGAUUGAUGUGUCUGGAUUUAACCCUCGAGAGCAUAAUUAAUCAUAUUAGAGAUGCCUGCCAGGAUAAGGGCAUUUCUCUGUUUUUAUAUUAAUUUCCUGGUUGUAUGUGUUUUAGUUGGCCAUGUGAUAAAGAGCAUUAUGUAAAUUGUUACACUUUUCAUUUUCUGUUACUUCACUUACAUUACUGAGGAACCAUGCCAGAAAGCAAUGUAAACAUUUUAACUCCUGCAAGAAAGUAAGAAUUGCUUACACCAGGAGAGAAAGCAGGAAAUUCUCGAAGGUCACUCCAACUUGUGGCACUGGCGGCUCACCUAGUCUCUCCAUUUGUCAUUAAGAGACAGACCAAAAACCAUUAGGACAUAAAUCCUAAAUCUUUUAUAACAUGACCAUGGAUAGUGAUUUGGGCUUAGAAUAAGAUGCUAAUGAGUCUACAUUUGCCAGUGACAAUUAGCUUUGCCAGCGACAGGCUUCACUGUUGAACUUAGCAGAACGUCUUGAGUGUUGAAAUGAGAUCCUUGUGAGUUAUGUGCCUGGAUGGAUGCAGUUCCUCAGCACCCUUGGAAGGUGGUUGUGCCCCACAGCCAUACAAGUUAGCGUUCAUGGUUUCUUUUUCUUGUAUGGUGUUUUAAACUCACGUUAUGCCAAAUUCAAAUAUGGCAAAAAAAAAAAAAACCAUAGACACCUACAUGGAAAAGAAAGUGUUAUUUCUAAGCUUCUAAACAGAAUGUCAGGAUUGACGAACACGCACUGGGACAGAAAUUUAAGUUUGUGCUUUAGAUAAAACUUAUUUACAUGUUUGUCGUGUAACACACGCAAGCAACAGCUUUGUACACAGCAUAUAACUACAGCACAUAUAUGUGAAGUGCUUACUCCUCUGAGAGCCAUGACUAUUUCUUCUUCACAUUUAAAUUUUCAACAUCUCUGCAGCAAUUUCCAGCCCUUUCCACCUCUCAGCUGUAAAUAGAAGUGAUAACCCCUCCAGCUAAGAAAUGCAGGGAAGCAUGUGCCCCCGGUCUGAAGGCUUACGGAAACACUAAGACAGAGGUCCCUCAAGAGCCCCACAUAAGGAACUGCGGCGUGACCCUGACCAGAACGAGGCUCAGUUUCAGGCUGCUUGGAUGACAGUGCAGUG